UCCUGCUUUCCAUCUGCAAUUUCUACACCAGAGCCGUGGCAAUGUUCCACCUUGACCGCCACCCAGUCCCAUGCCUGCAAGUGUAGGAUUGCUCUAAAGGUGACAUGGCUUCUGGGGGACAACGCACUGUUGCUUUCCGAUUGCCGAAGAUGCUUAAAGCCAGUGUUUCCAGGUGAUGGUUUGAAAAUGAAUUGGCAUCUUUUCCCUUACUCCAUAAUUUCUAUUACACUUUCAUGGUGUUCCCUGAAUCUUUUAAAGCAUAUAUACUUGUUCAAAUGUG